AUAUAUAUUAAUAAACAAAUGUUUACGUGUUAUAUUCCAUCACUGUAUUAAACACAGAUCUACACAGCAUAAGAGCAAUUUAUGCUACAAUUAUAGUCUAUAUUAACUCAAUUCAAGGAAGACUUCUUAUUUUCUUCAUACGACGUUCCUUUAUGUUGCAGAUAUAGAGAUCAGAUAUAUAUAAUUGUAUAAGAGGUCAGCAGUUGUACAAUUAUUGAAUUUCACACAACGUCUUAUAUCGAGUCUAAACUCAAUUAGAUAAGUAUAUGCAUGUAUAUUGAAUACACAUACACACAUUAUACCUAUUAUAACUAUUGCCUCCAAGUCUAAUUCCCUAAGUUAUUUUAAUAUAUUCUCUUUUUAUAACAACCUAUCACUGUGUUACGCACAAAGAAAGUACAAGACCCUCUCAGUCAUAAGUUAUAUUAUUUCCAAAAUGGGUUAAUAAUAAUGUUUAAUUAUCAUUGUCACUCUGGAAUUACAACUAGGUAUACAGAUGAUAAAGGCACUUAUCAGGCCAUCAAUAUUUUCGCCUGAUUUAUCGAGUAAUUCAUACGAUAUGCAGAUACAUUUAUAUAAAAGGAUGGCCAGAGGAAUAGCUGCGCCAUCAAGGGGGACGCAAAAGUAUAAGGAAUACUAAUAUAGUUUAACUAAGAGUCACCUAUUAGUUUAAGACCAGUUUAG